GACGAACGCUGGCGGCGUGCCUAAUACAUGCAAGUCGAGCGAAUCGAUGGGAGCUUGCUCCCUGAGAUUAGCGGCGGACGGGUGAGUAACACGUGGGUAACCUGCCUGUAAGACUGGGAUAACUUCGGGAAACCGGAGCUAAUACCGGAUACUUUCUUUUCUCGCAUGAGGGAAGAUGGAAAGAUGGUUCUGCUAUCACUUAUAGAUGGACCCGCGGCGCAUUAGCUAGUUGGUGAGGUAACGGCUCACCAAGGCGACGAUGCGUAGCCGACCUGAGAGGGUGAUCGGCCACACUGGGACUGAGACACGGCCCAGACUCCUACGGGAGGCAGCAGUAGGGAAUCUUCCGCAAUGGACGAAAGUCUGACGGAGCAACGCCGCGUGAGCGAAGAAGGCCUUCGGGUCGUAAAGCUCUGUUGUUAGGGAAGAACAAGUACGAGAGUAACUGCUCGUACCUUGACGGUACCUAACCAGAAAGCCACGGCUAACUACGUGCCAGCCGCCGCGGUAAAAC
rnacentral:rRNA from 1 species